CAUACUCAUUCUUUAGUCUCGAGACUUUCCUCUCUCUCACCUCUUUUUCUUCUCCUCUUCUCUUUUAUGCACGUUAUUGUCGUCACGAUCUCACCUUCUCGUUCCUAACAAAUUUUUUCCCCUGCUAGCUUAGAAAGUGAAAGAAACUGGAGGUAGGAAGACGAGGCUUUUGUGUCUCAUCUAUGGUGGCGUCCCUCCGAAGUGGAAUCUAGGGCGCGGCGGAAAGAAGGGGAAGUGAAAGGCGGAGGACUUUUGAGUUUUAUUGGCCGAGAGGCUAGGGCACGGUGUGAUUUGGUUCGAUCUCGGUGUGGAAGCUCGGAGAAUCAACUUAUUGCGUAGUGGUUUUGUGGUUGUGGGAUUUUGGAAACCUUAGAUUUGGGUCAGGGUUGUGUGGUUGGCUGAUUAAGCUAGGGGCGGGGCUGCCCUUGCGAUUGACUGGGUUUUCAUGCUGUCAAAACCACUGCCUUGGGAUCGGAAGGACUUCUUCAAGGAGAGGAGAGGAAGCACGAGAGGUCGGAGUCUUUAAGUUUGCUGCAAGAUAGAGGACUCGCAUCAGGGUUCUUGGGAGUUUGCUCGCCGGAAUCGGCAGACUUGCGCCGUCCUACAGAAGCACGAGAGGUCUGAGUCUUUAGGUUAGCUGCAAGAUAGAGGGACUCGCAUCAGGUUCUUGGGAGUUUGCUCGCCGGGAUCGGUAGACUUUCGCCCCCCUACAGGGACACUUUUCUUUGCCAUGAGCAAUGUUGGUGAGGUGGGUAAAUAUCAAUACACUUGAAUAUGAUUGUCACAUCAUUUGGGGGCUUUUGACUCUGGAAGAUUUCUGAUUAAUGUCAUUAAAUUUUUUCUUUUUCUUUUGAAACAAUAUGCCCCUUGAAGACUUGCUUUGAAUAAAUAAGAUUUUAACUUGUUUAGCAUUGUCUAUUGUUGUCUUAUUGCAUUAGAGAGAAGAAAAAAUUACACCUUGAUUCCAUUAUUCUCCUUUUCAAUUCUAACUAGUCAACAUCCUAAACAAUUUAUCAUCUUUGAAAACUUGAAGACGUUCUACUUCUAGCUUUAUCUUGCAGAAGGACAAUGAUUCCUGAUCUAUCUGAAUGAGGUUUAACACCAAGAACCAGAGUAGGCCUUGGACAACUCAGAUGGAAAUUAAAUCUUGUCUGCAUCACUGCUCCAUCUCCAAAUUGACUUGAGCUUUUCUUAUUUAUUGACAUUCUAUUUUUGUACAGAUUUUUAUACACUGGAUCUGUAGAAAUUAUAUUGGAUAUUGCACAAGAUCUCCUCAUAGCUACUGAUCGGUAUCUCUUGCAGGGAUAAAGCGUCCCUGUGAGUGUACCAUUGCCCAUGAUAUAUCACUGGAAAAUGUUUCAAGAAUGCAUGAGCUUUCAGAAGCCUUCCAUGCUAUUUCCUUAAGACACACAUGCCUCUUGUCUAUCUUGGAGCAGUUUAGUAAACUGAGUUCUAGGGCCGGAAGAAUUAGUGACUUAAAUGGAGAGGGUUCCACUUUUCCACCCCUAAGAAGCAUGAAGAGAAUGUACAGGUUUUAAGUGGUAUUUAUGAUUAAAAAAAUGCUCUAAAGCAAAGUAAUUCACACUCUCUAGCACUAGUACUUACAUGGACUUAGUUUAUGUUGCAGGAUGUUGAGGGGUUGUAAUAUCUCAGGACCAAUCCCCACAUAUAUAGUAGAGAUGACAGAAUUGAGAUUUUUGUAACUCUAACAUGCAUUUCUUUUCCUCUUUCUUUUUCUUUUAUGGCAAAUUUGUUGUCCCUAAAUGGUUGGAGUAGUGGAUUAUGUCAAGUAUCAUUACCUUUCUACAGUAAGAACUUGUAUUGUGGGCUACCAUGUAAGGGGCUUCCUCUUCUUGUUCCUUCCCUUUACCCUUGACCUUUAAUCAUUAAGGCAAAUUGUGCCUUUUUUUUUUUUCUACAUUUUUAUUUUUACAUAUGAAGGUAGAAAAAGUAGGAAAGACAAAUAUUUUACAAUAUGGGCCAAAGCUAUAUUGGGAGACUGUAUGUUGAUGGAAAUUACCAGCUCCUUUGGGUCUAAACUAUAUUUUUAUCUUUUGACUCCAUAGUUGGAAGCUCUUUUUUCUCUGUCCCUUUUGCGAAGGGAUCCUUUCCUCUUGUAAUUCAUCCCCCCCUCUUAUUGAAUUUGUUGGGUGGUUUUUCUGUGUCAAAAUACUUUUGUGAGAUUAAAUUGGCCCUCAAAUGAUAAUAUACACACCCUGACUUUAUUAUUAUUAAGAAUGGGGAUAAAUGGCUGAUCUAGGGGUCAGUAAUUCUAUGUCUAUCAAUGAGUUAUGCCUCUUUUCUUUACCCCUCUAUCUUCAGACUAAUGGCCUUUUAUCUCUUGAGAUUUAUAUUGCCACCAAAAUCAAUACAUGAGGAAGUUCAAAUAUUAUCAUUAAAAAACAGGAACUAGAAAAAAGGUAUUAGAAUGUGCAGUAAAUUGCAAGAGACAAUCUUUUGUGUUUGACUUGUUCAAGGAAGGGAUGUAAGCAUGGAAUCCUAUAAAUAUACAAGCUUUCUAGUUGUCUUACCCCCAAACCCCCUCUUAUUAUGGGAUGUUAGUUCCUUUCCUUAAUAAAUUUUUUCUAUUUACUUCAAACCUCCUCUUAUUAUGGGGAUGUUAGUUCCUUUCCUUAAUUUUUUUUUUAUUUACUCUAAAUUCUUGUUUCAUGCACUAUUGUUUUCUGGUUGGAAAUUGUGACAUGGUCAAUGCACAACUAACAUGAUUUCCUAUUUAAGAUUUUUUUUUUUUGAGCCAAUGAUUGCAUAAGAAUAACCCAUUACAAUUUAACCUUUUUU